rnacentral:rRNA from 1 species
UACGUAGGUGGCAAGCGUUGUCCGGAAUUAUUGGGCGUAAAGCGCGCGCAGGCGGUCCUUUAAGUCUGAUGUGAAAGCCCACGGCUCAACCGUGGAGGGUCAUUGGAAACUGGGGGACUUGAGUGCAGGAGAGAAGAGUGGAAUUCCACGUGUAGCGGUGAAAUGCGUAGAGAUGUGGAGGAACACCAGUGGCGAAGGCGAGUCCCUGGACAACUCCUGACACUGAGGCACGAAAGCUAGGGGAGCAAACAGG